rnacentral:rRNA from 1 species
AACGAGGGGGAGUCUCUCCCCCUAGUGGCAAACGGGCGAGUAAUACAUAUUUAACCUACGUGUGCGAGGAGGAUAGCAUCCCGAAAGGGGUAUUAAUACUUCAUAGGUUUAUAGCGUUAAAUUAAAGGGCGCUCCCGAAAGGGGGCGCUGCGCAUACAUGGGAAUAUGUCCUAUUAGGUAGUUGGCGGGGUAAAUGCCCACCAAGCCUGUGAUGGGUAGCUGGGCUGAGAGGUUGUACAGCCGCAAUGGGAUUGAGAUAUGGCCCAUAUUCCUACGGGAAGCAGCAGUGAGGAAUUUUUCACAAUGGACGAAAGUCUGAUGGAGCAAUACCACGUGAACGAUGAAUGUCUUCUGAUUGUAAAGUUCUUUUAUUUAGGAUAAAAAGCAUGAUAGGAAAUGAUUAUGCCUUGAUAGUACUAAAUGAAUAAGUGACAGCUAACUAUGUGCCAGCAGCUGCGGUAACACAUAGGUCACGAGCAUUAUCCGGAUUUAUUGGGCGUAAAGGAAGCGUAGGCGGACAGUCUGAUCCAGUGUUAAAUGCAUCUGCUCAACAGAUGUAUGCAUUGGAGAUCACCUGUCUAGAAUUAGUUAGGGGGUACUGGAAUUCAAUGUGGAGCGGUGGAAUGCGUAGAUAUAUUGAGGAACACCAGAGGCUAAGGCGAGUACCUGGGACAUAAUUGACGCUGAGGCUUGAAAGCGUGGGGAGCAAAUGGGAUUAUAUACCCCAGUAGUCCACGCCGUAAACGAUGGGUAUUAAG